UACGUAGGGGGCAAGCGUUGUCCGGAUUUAUUGGGCGUAAAGAGCGUGUAGGCGGCUAGGUAGGUCCGUUGUGAAAACUCGAGGCUCAACCUCGAGACGCCGAUGGAAACCAUCUGGCUAGAGUCCGGAAGAGGAGAGUGGAAUUCCUGGUGUAGCGGUGAAAUGCGUAGAUAUGCGGAGGAACACCGAUGGCGAAGGCAAUCCCCUGGGCCUGUACUGACGCUCAUGCACGAAAGCGUGGGGAGCAAACAGG
rnacentral:rRNA from 1 species